rnacentral:tRNA from 1 species
CGCGGGAUAGAGCAGUCGGUAGCUCGUUGGGCUCAUAACCCAGAGGUCGCAGGUUCGAGUCCUGCUCCCGCAACCA